rnacentral:rRNA from 1 species
AUGAGAUCUCUCCUAGGCAAGUUGGGCGGCCUCCUUGCCCAAGAGUACACUCUGAUCCGUGGCGUCUGCGGCGACAUCCAGUACAUCAGCGACGAGCUCGCCAGCAUGCAAGCCUUUCUUGGUGACCUCGGCUCUGCCCUAGACGACCAUGAUCGCCGGCUCAAGAGCUGGAUGAAGCAGAUCCGUGACAUGGCAUAUGACAUGGAAGACUGCAUCGAUGACUUUGCUCAUCGCCUCCCUCAGGACUCCCUCAGCGAUGCAAGAUGCUCCUUUAUUGUGACGAUAAUCUAUGAGCUGUGGACAUUCUGGCCUCGCUGCGACAUUGCCUCCAAGAUUGCCGAGCUCAAGAACUUUGACGAAGAUGAAGUCCUCAGGGAUAUUCUUGGUCAAAUCAAGCCAAAAGAUAGUCAAAUCAAGGCAAAGGAGGAGAAGGAGGGCAACAACAUAGGGAAGUUGGAGAAGAAAAGCCUA